CCAAAUUUUAUUCAUUUCUUCUUUUGUUUUCAGAACUUUUCUGUAUGUGCAGUUGUUUUUUUUUCUAUUUGUUUCUUUUCCAAGUUUUUUUCUUUUGAUCUUUCCGAUUUCUUUUUUAUUCAUGAAUAUAUUUGGAGAGAUGAAUUUUAGAUAAGCAUUGCUUUCCUUGAAUCCUGAAAAUUUGGGUAUGGUGGCUCAUUUUAUCAGUUUAUUCUAUGAGAUGAUCUCUACUUUUUCUGAUUUGUCCUAUGUGCGUUUUGUUUUCCACCUUUUGCUCAGGUGCUCUCCAGAUAUUGACUGCCUGACUGACUGAUUUGAUCUGCUGGGACCCCAUCCCCUGCGCAGCGUUAUGGCCUGCGUUCCAUAGGCUGAAUCAAGCCCCGCCUCCAUCGGUGACGUCACGGGGCUCCUCCUUUCUGCGGUUUUCACCUGCCUGGGGCCCCCAGCAUUCUGUGAAAAGAGGCCGCCAACGGAAGCAGCCAGAGCUCCGUCCGCCUCCCAUCCUCCCCGCCCCCACCCCAACCCCACCCCCUCUCCCCCCUCCCCGGGCCUGCCUGAUCCUCGGUGAGAGUCCCCUGUCUGUGGGAGUUUCCCCCUCCAGAGGCCAGCGAACAAACGUCACAGGCCCGGAUCUUCAACUCC
rnacentral:lncRNA from 1 species